rnacentral:rRNA from 1 species
CCAGACUCCUACGGGAGGCAGCAGUGAGGAAUAUUGGUCAAUGGGCGUAAGCCUGAACCAGCCAAGUCGCGUGAGGGACGACGGCCCUACGGGUUGUAAACCUCUUUUGCCGGGGGACAAACGGCGGCACGCGUGCCGUCCUGAGGGUACCCGGAGAAAAAGCAUCGGCUAACUCCGUGCCAGCAGCCGCGGUAAUACGGAGGAUGCGAGCGUUAUCCGGAUUUAUUGGGUUUAAAGGGUGCGUAGGCGGGAUGCCAAGUCAGGGGUAAAAUACGGGGGCUCAACCUGCGUCCGCCGUUGAAACUGGCGGGCUGGAGUUGGAGAGAAGUACGCGGAAUGCGCGGUGUAGCGGUGAAAUGCUUAGAUAUCGCGCAGAACCCCGAUUGCGAAGGCAGCGCACCGGCGCCCUACUGACGCUCAGGCACGAAAGCGUGGGUAUCGAACAGGAUUAGAUACCCUAGUA